AAUGUCACUGUAGUCUGGGACCUUCCCGACGUCCCCACAAUACAUCUUGUAUGGUUUUGUUUCAGUGAAACUUUAUGUUAAGUAUCUGAUAAAGGAGAACGUACAGGUGUGCGAAAUGUCCCCACUCAACACAGUUAAUUCAACACGUGUGAAAUGUCCCCACUAGGCAUAGUCUAUGUGACAGCAGACAGGUUGACAAAGCAGGACAAAAUAUGACCGUAGAAUCCUUUCUCGCUAGUUUGGUGUGUGGGGGAUGUAUUUGACCCAAGAGACAUGUCCUUUAGAAAAUGUAUCAAAAUAAUAUAAUAUUAUGCAGUGUUUACAUGAAAUUGACUGAUUUACUUUUUGUAUCAAAUUGCAGAUGACUACAUGUGCACCUGACACGCCCUGUGUGAGCUCCCAGCCUGUGCUCAUGUCAGAGCCACAGUGGGAUGAAGCUGCCUGGUUAGAGGACACUGGUCAACAGAAGAGGAAACUGUUGGAGGCACGGAGGGGAAUAAAAUCCCAGCAAAACAGAGACGCAAACUGCCACCAGCAGAAGAUGGAGCAUCUUCUACAGUCUGUGCUGUGAGCCAUGUUCUUCCAAAGGUGAAUUUUUAGACUUUUUUAUUUAUAUAUUGGAGUAACGUAAUUUAUCGGACAACGUAAUGUUGUAGAGUACAAAUUUGAGAUUAUAUAUGUAAAAAUGAAAACAUUUUUAUGAGGGAGUGUCAAUCUUCUCAGCUCUCUAGUCUGGUUGUACGUCAGCAGAUACUUCUAUAGGAUUUGCCAGGUGGCAUUAGGGUGAACAGACUGUGACUGGGGUAGAUAGUAUCUUUGGGCGUUGUGCAGAC
rnacentral:lncRNA from 1 species